UUUGUCGGUGAUGAUAUUCUGGCUCCCUCUACUGAACACUGUGAGGAUACUGCCAUCGUUACCCAAUUUAUUACUGAGAUAGA
ensembl:snoRNA